CUCUCCAAAAUAUACCCAAAAACCUAUCCAGAUCCAUAUAAAAGUACAUCAUGUAUGUUUUGUGGUUUUGUACUCAAAAGUACAUCAUGUAUGUUUUGUGGUGGUGUGUGGUGGGGUGUGGAGGUGGUGUAGUGGUGUGUAGUGGUGUGUGGAGGUGGUGUAGUGGUGUGUGGAGGUGGUGUAGUGGGGUGUGGAGGUGGUGUAGUGGUGUGUGGAGGUGUGUGGAGGUGGUGUAGUGGUGUGUGGAGGUGUGUAGUGGUGUGUGGGUGUGUGGAGGUGGUGUAGUGGUGUGUGGAGGUGUGUAGUGGUGUGUGGAGGUGGUGUAGUGGUGUGUGGAGGCGUGUGGAGGUGGUGUAGUGGUGUGUGGAGGCGUGUGAGGUGUGUAGGGGUGUGGAGGUGGUGUAGUGGUGUGUGGAGGUGUGUAGUGGGGUGUGGAGGUGUGUAGUGGUGUGUGGAGGUGGUGUAGUGGUGUGG
ensembl:lncRNA